rnacentral:rRNA from 1 species
UACGUAGGGGGCAAGCGUUGUCCGGAUUUAUUGGGCGUAAAGAGCGUGUCGGCGGCCUGGUAGGUCAGCUGUGAAAACUCGAGGCUCAACCUCGAGACGCCGGUUGAAACCAUCAGGCUAGAGUCCGGAAGAGGAGAGUGGAAUUCCCGGUGUAGCGGUGAAAUGCGCAGAUAUCGGGAAGAACACCCGUGGCUAAGGCGGCUCUCUAGUACGGUACUGACGCUGAGACGCGAAAGCGUGGGGAGCGAACAGG